rnacentral:rRNA from 1 species
GAUGAACGCUGGCGGCGUGCCUAAUACAUGCAAGUCGAGCGGACGGACGAGACGCUUGCUUCUUUGAUGUUAGCGGCGGACGGGUGUGUAACACGUGGAUAACCCACCUAUCAGACUGGGAUAACUUCGGGAAACCGUCGCUUAUCCCGGAUAAUCUUUUGCACUGCAUGGUUCAUAGGUGAAAGACGGUCUUGCUGUCUCUUAUAGCUGGAUACGGGCUGCAUUAGCUAGUUGGUAAGGUAACGGCCUACCAAGGCAACGAUGCAUAGCCGACGUGUGAGGGGGGUAGGCCGCAUGGGAGCGGGACCGGGGACCAGAGUACUAAGGUAGGCAGCAGUAGGGUAUCGGCGGCAGUGGGCGAAAGUCUGACGGAGCAACGCCGCGUGAGAGAUGAAGGUCUUGCGAUCGUAAAACUCGGCUAUGAGGGGUGAACAGAUGUGGACGUAACUGUGGACAGCGUGACGGUACCUGGUCAGGAAGCCACGGCUAACUACGUG